rnacentral:rRNA from 1 species
AUGCAGCNACGCCGCGUUGAGGGACGACGGCCUUCGGGGUUGUAAACCUCUUUUAGUAGGGAAGAAGCGAAAGUGACGGUACCUGCAGAAAAAGCACCGGCUAACUACGUGCCAGCAGCCGCGGUAAUACGUAGGGUGCAAGCGUUGUCCGGAAUUAUUGGGCGUAAAGAGCUCGUAGGCGGUUGGUCGCGUCUGCUGUGAAAACCCAAGGCUCAACCUCGGGCCUGCAGUGGGUACGGGCCGACUAGAGUGCGGUAGGGGAGAAUGGAAUUCCUGGUGUAGCGGUGGAAUGCGCAGAUAUCAGGAGGAACACCGAUGGCGAAGGCAGUUCUCUGGGCCGUAACUGACGCUGAGGAGCGAAAGCAUGGGGAGCGAACAGGAUUAGAUACCCUGGUAGUCCAUGCCGUAAACGUUGGGCGCUAGAUGUGGGGACCAUUCCACGGUUUCCGUGUCGCAGCUAACGCAUUAAGCGCCCCGCCUGGGGAGUACGGCCGCAAGGCUA